UACGUAGGGUGCAAGCGUUGUCCGGAAUUGUUGGGCGUAAAGAGCUCGUAGGCGGUUUGUCGCGUCUGCUGUGAAAACUCGGGGCUUAACCCCGGGCCUGCAGUCGAUACGGGCAGGCUAGAGUUCGGCAGGGGAGACUGGAAUUCCUGGUGUAGCGGUGAAAUGCGCAGAUAUCAGGAGGAACACCGGUGGCGAAGGCGGGUCUCUGGGCCGAUACUGACACUGAGGAGCGAAAGCGUGGGGAGCGAACAGG
rnacentral:rRNA from 1 species